GAACAAUCGAGAUGAUCUUGGAUUGGUUUCGCGUGUCCCAUGAUAGAUACUCUUCCUCCCCGCCUCUCCCCACGAUCUCUCCAUCGAAUCUUCUUGCCUCCCUCUGGGAGCUCCUCCCUGGCCGAGAUCCCACGUCCCAGACACUGCCCUAGAUUUGUGAGGUGGAGCGGCUCACCGCAGAAAACUACGGCCCCAGGAAGGGCCCGGCACUCGGCGCGAUGGCCACUGCCGGCACUGCGACCUCUGCCCACACGGGACGACGGCCUCAAGUUGUCUAGGCAGUACAGGUUGCCGUCGACAACGAAGAGGAUCGCCAAGGCUGCCACCGCCUAUGAAUUCCAUCAUACAGGAGGAGAGCGGCCGCGACUCCCCUUUUCUCCUUUCUGCCCCCCAAUAGAGGUCCUGUACGGAGCGGGAAGAGCUGACCGCUGGUCUCGCCUUCCCGGCAACGUCGCGCCCGGCCACCAGGUUGCAGCGGCAGAUUGCUGGCGCACAACAGAGACUACAAAGGCAGCUACUUAGUCUAUUGGAUAUGGCAACUUGCCCUACACUAUCCCCCUCCUAUCAACGUGCGCUGUCUUCUGCGGCCUGCCAACGCCUCUAGCUCCUGAUGGUUGUUUUACUUCUUCAAGAUUGUUUGGACGAAGUGCUGCUGAGUAUGGGGUGGCAAAAAGCUCUGAAUCAAAGCAAGAUGUUUUAUCCACUAUUUCAGAUAUCUCUUGAUAGACUAUACUUAAUCACCUGGUUUGGUGAAGCACUGAGGAUAGUAUAUGUCAGUGAUGAAACAUUGUCAAAUGAACCCGGUCGAUCAGAAACGGAGAGGGUUGGUAUUGGCCUUCUCCUGCCAGAUUCUGAGAAUAUAAGAUUUAAUCUGAAAGGUGAGUGUUUUGGAAACCUGAAAGGUGAGUGUUUUGGAAAAAUAAACUGUUGGUUUGAUCAGUUGUUAUAGGUACUUACUCCCACCACUUUCCAUUUGCUUUUUAGGACAAAGAUUUUCAACUGCUUAUAUAGAGGAGUUGUCUGAAAAUCCUUUAGUCUAUAUCAGAUGACCAAAUUCGUGAUAUUGUUGUGUUUCUUCACCGCGCUCAUGGCCUCUCGAAGCAUAUAGAUUUUUUUUUCUAACGUUACCUCCCUAUUCAAAGUCAAAAGACACGCGGUUCCAUGUUCCCGACCUUAUUCAGGAUGGCAACGUUUGGCCAGUUUAAAGGUUUUCAGAAUUUUCAUACUCAAUACACUUUUCAUAUUUAUAUGAUUAUGUAUUCAUGUACAUUCCCUUUUAUCUGAAUUUGGAAAAGAAAUAGUUGUGCCUGACAUCAAUGUCGAAUGGGUUAUGGAUACACCACUGAGUUAGAUGCUUUCAAAUUUGGCUUUAUGCUUCCUAUCACACCUCCAUGUAAAUGGUACAUAAAUACUCUUGAAUUAAAUAGCACUUGCUAUGCAGGUACGGUAAUUAUUAUAGACCUUGAUGUUUGGAUGAUUGGUAAUGGCGAAUGAAUGAAAAUAGAAUGUCCAGAUAAAGUCAUAUGCAGAUCAAGUUUAUAAAUAGAUGCUCCUAUGUCAUGGGCAACCAAAGCAAGUACAUGAACUUACACCCCUCUUGAUGCCCAAAAGGAACUUAUCUCUUAUAAGGCAUCAUGAUGCAGGCCAAGUUUAUAAACUGACAAGGGAUUCUCAAACAGCUGUGAAAGAUUCAUGGAGCAUGCAUGGAGCCAAUAGGAAAUUAGAACAGGUCGCCUUCAUUGCCUUGGCCCUUCACAAUGAUUGUUGUUCUGUUCAGGUACCACUUGCCUAAAUACCAAGUCAGUUACUCAAUAAACAGCUAUAUAUAUAUGUAUUCCGAUCCUAGCUGCGUUAUUACCCAUGCUUUGUGCAUUCCUUGGUCAUAUAUUAAUUACCUCAGCAGUUGUAAGCUCUUGAUAAAUAUUUCAACAUCUACGGUUGCCGGAUUUUUUUCUGUAAGCUUCUCUUACAAUGUAAUGCAAUGACAAAUAAGGUCAACCAGUGGCUAAAUUAUCUCUCCUUUAUAGGGCCAUUUAAGUUGCUAAGAAGCAUAUAUGUCACGUGUUAUGUUUUUUAAGGGAUAUGUCAUGUGUUAUGAAAGUUAUUGGGCGUACACCUGUUGCCUCUGGACAUUUGCAUUGUAGAAGCUAGAACAAUUUGUGUAUAUAAGCAACCAUAGGCAGCUAUUGAUUAUGUUAUCUUAAGCCUUUCUUUACACUGGAGCCUCCAAUAUAUUUCGGCUUCACUGUUCCAUUUUAUGGUAUCAACAACAAUUUAGGACUAUUUAUCUUCUGCCACACGAUCAUUUAUCUUGAUGUGGUGCACCUACUAUCUGCAUCAUCCUGAUCCUAACAAAUACUAAGAUCAAUAUGUGAACUAUAGGUCUUUCAAUCCGC